GUAGGUGGCAAGCGUUGUCCGGAAUUAUUGGGCGUAAAGCGCGCGCAGGCGGUCCUUUAAGUCUGAUGUGAAAGCCCACGGCUCAACCGUGGAGGGUCAUUGGAAACUGGGGGACUUGAGUACAGAAGAGGAAAGCGGAAUUCCAAGUGUAGCGGUGAAAUGCGUAGAGAUUUGGAGGAACACCAGUGGCGAAGGCGGCUUUCUGGUCUGUAACUGACGCUGAGGCGCGAAAGCGUGGGGAGCAAACAGGGAUUAGAUACCCUGGUAGUCCACGCCGUAAACGAUGAGUGCUAAGUGUUAGGGGGUUUCCCGCCCCUUAGUGCUGCAGCUAACGCAUUAAGCACUCCACCUGGGGAUACGGCCGCAAGGCUG
rnacentral:rRNA from 1 species